rnacentral:rRNA from 1 species
AGUGAACGCUGGCAGUAGGCCUAACACAUGCAAGUCGAACGGCAGCACAGUAAGAGCUUGCUCUUACGGGUGGCGAGUGGCGGACGGGUGAGGAAUACAUCGGAAUCUACUUUUUCGUGGGGGAUAACGUAGGGAAACUUACGCUAGUACCGCAUACGACCUACGGGUGAAAGCAGGGGAUCUUCGGACCUUACGCGAUUGAAUGAGCCGAUGUCGGAUUAGCUAGUUGGCGGGGUAAAGGCCCACCAAGGCGACGAUCCGUAGCUGGUCUGAGAGGAUGAUCAGCCACACUGGAACUGAGACACGGUCCAGACUCCUACGGGAGGCAGCAGUGGGGAAUAUUGGACAAUGGGCGCAAGCCUGAUCCAGCCAUACCGCGUGGGUGAAGAAGGCCUUCGGGUUGUAAAGCCCUUUUGUUGGGAAAGAAAAGCAGCAGGUUAAUACCCCGCUGUUCUGACGGUACCCAAAGAAUAAGCACCGGCUAACUUCGUG